rnacentral:tRNA from 1 species
GAGACUUUAGCUCAGUGGUAGAGCAUCUCACUUUUAAUGAGAGGGUCGCUGGUUCGAAACCAGCAAGUCUCA